GAUGAACGCUGGCGGCGUGCCUAAUACAUGCAAGUCGAGCGAACGGACGAGAAGCUUGCUUCUCUGAUGUUAGCGGCGGACGGGUGAGUAACACGUGGAUAACCUACCUAUAAGACUGGGAUAACUUCGGGAAACCGGAGCUAAUACCGGAUAAUAUUUUGAACCGCAUGGUUCAAAAGUGAAAGACGGUCUUGCUGUCACUUAUAGAUGGAUCCGCGCUGCAUUAGCUAGUUGGUAAGGUAACGGCUUACCAAGGCAACGAUGCAUAGCCGACCUGAGAGGGUGAUCGGCCACACUGGAACUGAGACACGGUCCAGACUCCUACGGGAGGCAGCAGUAGGGAAGCUUCCGCAAUGGGCGAAAGCCUGACGGAGCAACGCCGCGUGAGUGAUGAAGGUCUUCGGAUCGUAAAACUCUGUUAUUAGGGAAGAACAUAUGUGUAAGUAACUGUGCACAUCUUGACGGUACCUAAGCAGAAAGCCACGGCUAACUACGUG
rnacentral:rRNA from 1 species